CAACCUGCAGCCGCACAUUCCUUCACCCUCCCUCGCCACCUCUACAACUUCCCUAUCUGCCUCACUCCAGCACUCCUCCACUCCUCUCCACCUAUCUCGAUCAUCUCUACUUACCUCCGUCACUCCCCUACCAAUAUCCGCAAUUUCCCUACCUAGCUUUGCUACCCUCAAAUCAUUCCUACUCAACCCAACACCCUAGUUGACCUAAAACCUAACCACUAGAACUAUCCAAAACCCAAAAUUUACAAAGUGCACAAUUUGGAAUGGGUUUUGACAGAGGACUUCAUCACCAAUUGCCUGUUAUCUCUACAUCCUUGACUCUAGUGCCUAAAUUCAUGCUUUAUGCGAUCUCCAUUGAUGAGCUUCUUUGACACUUGCUUGAUUAGGGUACAUUGCUAAGACAUUGUAUGGUGAUGAUGAUGAAGAGGUUACUCCUCAAAAUAGCGGCACAGUGGAGGAGCCAAAAUGUUUAGGUCUUUACCCUGGAUCAAAUGAGAAGAUUCUCUUGAAGAAUGGUCCUUAUGGGUUCUAUGUUCAGCUUGGUGAGGACAGGAAGGGAUACUUGCCUAAAAGAGCCUCGGUUUCCCAAAUAAAAACAUGUAGACUAUAUUACCCUGGAAGAUGCUAUUGAGUUGCUGCGCUAUCCUGCGACAUUGCCAGUUGUAUUGAAGGUUGCAAAGUUUGGAUUUUCCAUUAGACAUCGACGCACAAUCGCGCCUGUGCCCAAGGCGCUUUACUACUUUUGAACUUAGCACGAGAUGUGCAUGGGGCAUGUCGUUGGUAGGACAAUUAUGAUAGAAAGUCUAUGAACCCAUAAACAGAACCAGAAAAAGUGAUGUGUGGCUCAGAUCUACUGUUUAUUUAGUGGGGUUUACACAUGAAUUAAUCUUAACCAUUAAUUAUGUUUUCUGGAAACUUUUCUGAGCAUUGCUUUCUGGGACAGUUGAAUUGCUGCAAUUAUGAGGAAUCAAUUCAACAAUUUCAUGAUUAUAGUGAUUGGCAAAUGAUAGACAUGUAUUUUUUAUUUUUUUGAGAAGUGUCAUAUAGCAUAUUAUAUAAUGAUAAAAGAAAGAGUACAUAAGCCCACAAACAAUACCAGGACUAAAAUGUUAGCUCCAGCCCACAUAGAGCUGUUAUUGAAGGGUGGCUCUCCAAGUCAAGAAGUAGGAGGGAAGAUGGCAGGUUGCAGCCAGCCCAAUAACUCUCAUUCCUUGACUUUGUUUCCCUCUCCCCGUGUAUAUAUAUAGAGACAGAGGAAGAGAAGAGAUAGGCAACACAGAGUGAAAAAGCUGUGUGUAAGAGAGUGAAUUCUAUAAAGAGUUGUGAGGUGUGAGUUGUAAUCUCCCUCCGGGAUAAUUUUAUAGUGAGAAAUAUCUCUCCGUGGACGUGGGCUAUUGCCGAACUACGUAAAUCUCGUGUCUCCUUUUUGUGUGUGUGAUUGAUUUCUGAGUGUCCCUAAUCCUAACAAGUGGUAUCAGAGCCUUGUUGGUCGAUUUUCGAAAUAACAGGGUAUGUUUUUCAGAAUUGCCGAGAAAUCAAGUUGCUUGAAAUUCACUUUUGAGCAUACCAGGAGGAAGCCCUCGAUUAGAGGAGUCCAAAACUGCAAAGUAAAGCCCCAAACGAGACUCCAUGCGCUCUUACGCACCACCUAAAUCUCUCGAGUGAAGCCUAGUCGCAAACACACGCAACACACGCCGUUGACAAAACCGGUGCGUCAUCCUAGUCUUAGGCACGCGCCUGACACGUGACAAAAGGAAGGAGAGUGUUCUGUGCGUAAUAGUGAUGUCAUCAACACGUGUCAUCACCAGGUCAUCGCUACGUCAUCGCCAUGUGUUUGACACGUUAGCGCCAUGUAUUCGUCGAAUCAGAGCCACGUGUCUGCCACAUAAGCACAUUAGUUGACUAGUCAACUUGUCGAGUUUACCUGACUAGACCCAACCCAGAGGCAGAGGGUUUAUUUGGUGCUACGCAGCUGCAGUACAUUCACAGAUCUGAACCGUCAACAUAUUUUGGCUAGAUCUGAGCCAUUUGAAGUCCGAUUUUGACGAUCCAAUAGUGGUUUCCAACUAUUUGGAGUAUUCUGGAAAGAUUUGUAUGGUCAGAUUUUUGAAUUAGAGUUUCUGUAAAAAGUAAGAAGAAGAUGGAAGAAUCUAUUUCAACUUCGGGAUCGAUGAUCAAAUUAAAUGCUUCCAAUUAUGGAAUCUGGAAGUCGCGGAUGGAAGACGUCCUAUACUAUAGAGACUUGUUUGACCCUAUAGCUCUAAAAAAGGUUAAACCGGAAGUAGAGAAGGAUGAAGACUGGAUAAAGAUGAACUAGAAGAUUGUCGGUCAGAUCAGACAGUGGAUAAACCAUAACGUGUUCUACCAUGUCGCCCAGGAGACAUAUGCAUAUGUCCUCUGAACAAUAUUAGAAGGAAUGUACCAGUUGAAGACCGCUUGGAAUAAAGGCUUGGUGAUGAGAAGGCUUGUAAAUCUGAAGUUGAAGAAUGGUGUGUCUGUCGCCAAGCAUACCAGUGAAUUCAAGAAUCUGGUGAAUCAACUUGCAACCGUCAAGAUGCCCUUAGACGAUGAAAUGUAAGCCGUAUUACUGCUCAGUUCUUUAUCGGACAGCUGGGAGACGGUGGUUUCUCUCAGCACCUUUGCACCAGAGGGGAAGCUGACCAUAGCAUGGUCACAGACGCCAUGUACAAUGAAAAGACAAGAAGAAAAGACAUAGGAGGUAAUCAACACCAUGCUUUUGUCACAGAAGAUAGAGGCAAAGACAGAGGUAGAGGAAGAGGCAGAGAAAGAAGCAAGAGUGAAGGCAGAUGGAAUAACGUGAGUAAAUCCAAAGGCAGUAAAAGUCAAGGUAACUCUAGCUUCACUUGCUUUCACUGUGGUCAGGAGGGUCACAUAAAGAGGAACUGCCCAAACCGAAAAGAUAAAGGCCAAAACAGUAAGUCAAAAGGAGAUGAAAACACGACAACCACAACAACUGAUGAAAUACUUCUUGCAAUUGGUGAAGAAGAGGAUUGCCUUCAAGUGGCUGGCCACAGAUGUACAGAGUAGGUGAUAGGUUACCCUAGUUUAUAGUUUAGAAACAAUUCUUAGGAUAUGUUUAGUGUAGUUUAUUGUAAGUUUAAAACUAAUAAUCAGAAAGCAGAAACUAAAAACACUCACCCCAAACUUCCAAAUAAUCAACAACAAAAAAAAAAAGAA